UGUAAUAUCUUCCGAAAAUGCACCGCGCAUUAUUUGGUAACAUUCAAAUACCGGAGAAACGUUGCGGUAAAAAUCCCUAUAAACAUUACCGUCGCCCAGAGCGGCGUUGGCAACAGUACACCACCUGAUUCACUUCCGAAAAUCUUGAACACACAGAGAGAGAGAGAGAGAGAGAGAGAGAGAGAGAGAUGGUCCGCCAUAAAAGAAAUAAUAAAAGAAAUAGCGACAGUGAAGAAGACGAUUCGAUCUUUCUCCGAUACCCAAUCCCUCAUCCUUCGAGCAGCAAUAGCCGCAGCAACGAUCACAGCAGAAGAUCAGGCGGCAGCGGCGGCCUCGCCCCCUCGAAAUCAACGGUCUAUGUCAGCAACCUGGAUUACAGCCUCACCAACUCAGACCUCUUCACCAUCUUCUCCACCUUCGGCAAGGUCGGCAAGGUUACCAUCCUCAAGGACCGUCACUCCCGCCGCAGCAAGGGCGUCGCCUUCGUCCUCUUUGUCUCCCAGGAUGACGCCCGCCGCGCCGUCAAUGAGAUGAAUGGCAAGAUCCUCAACAAGCGCUCCCUCACGGUCUCCAUUGCUGCUGACAAUGGCCGCGCCCCCGAAUUCAUACGCCGCAAGGUUUACAAGGACAAGUCCCGCUGCUACGAAUGUGGCCAGGAUGGCCACCUCUCAUACGAGUGCCCCAAGAAUCAGCUCGGCCCCCGGGAGAGGCCUGUUCCCAAGCGGGCCCGGAAGGCGCAGGCCACCACAGGGCAGUUUGUUGGGGGGGACGAUGGGGAGGGUUCUGAUGGUGAAGGGGGAGAGGCGUUGUUUGAGGAUGACAAUUGGGCGUCUGUGGUCGACACAAGAGGGGUUGAUGAAAGGGCGGUGAUGAGAGGAGGUGAUGCAGGUGCGGGCGGUGUGACGAUGAUCAAGGGAGGGAAGAGGGAGAAGAAAUCGAGUUAUUUCAGUGAUGAAAGUGGCGAGGAUGAGUGAGAUGAAUAUACGGAUCUCAAGUUUUGUUGCAAAAUUGAAAACACGACUUCAAUGCCAGCUUACUGUAAAAAUGAAAAUGAAAGGGAUCUCAAAUGCUGAAGUUGAAUUAAUUAGGAUGGAAAAGGCAGGCAUUGUGUCUCUGAUCAUGUCAAGAUGGUGAGGACCUCCAUGAUCAGUACUUUGGACACAGUUAGUUGGGGCCCUGGAUUACUUGCAUCCUCUUCCAACACAGAUGUGGUUUCUGCCUGCCCAUCUGAUCUGGGAAAUCUUGAUGAGGAAAUCUACAUGGUGAUUCCCUCAGGGUUUGCCAAAUAAGGGAGCAUUGUGUUUGUCGUCUUAACAAAUUUCUUAAGGGGUUGUUUGGCUCAUGGAAUUAGAUCGUAUUAAGUUGGCUGGAAUUGCUUUUUUGUAAUAAAUGCACUUGUCGGUGGAUUGUCACUUAAUGACAUGGGAGUGAGCUAUUCACUUUGGUGUUUGGAUCAUGUAAGAUGCAGGGCUUAAAUACAUGCUUUGAUUCAUGUAGUGUUUGGUUGUACAUGGAAAACAACUACCAAUCUCGAAAAUCGUGUUUGAAAAUUACAGUGAGAAGCAAGGUGGGGCCCACCUUGAUGUUUGUGAGCAAUCCACCUCGUCCAUCCGUUUUGUGAGAUCAUUUUAUGACAUACUAUCAAAAGUCAAGCAGAUCCAAAACUCAAGUAGGCAUGCGAGAGGAAAGAGUGGGGAAAGAAUUUCCUACCCUUGAAACCUUCCUGAGCUCCACCUUGAUGUUUAUAUGUCAUCCCAACCGUUUAUAAGUUCAUUCUUGCCGAGAUGAACUGACAACAUAGAAAACUCUAUCGUCAUACAAAACUUUUGUGGCCAUAUGAAUGUUUCAAUGGUGGUCACUUAAUCUCCUUUGUUUUCUCUUGUAUGGCCCACUUGAGUUUUAAAUCUACCUCAUUUUUAGUCGCUUACCUUAAAAUGAUCUUGUAAAAUAGAUGGAUGAGGUAGAUUCCUCACAAAUAUCAAGGUGGGCCCCAACACCAUUCCUAACGUAAGAAUUUCCUAGCUUAUGCUUUUAGGAGGAAAUCCCAUGAAUUUUCCAAAUACUGGUUGAAUUUCGGAAAGCCCUCCCUAACCCUUUCUACUUCAUGCACAAGAUCCAAUGGUGGAAACCUAUGAUGAACCAAAUAGGGGAUGAUUUUUUAAACCAAGGGAUUUAAAGUUCUAUCCCACUUAAUACCAUCUAAUUCCAUGUGCCAAACACCCCCUAAUAGACUCAAGUAGCCCUUGUGAAAUUAGUUCACUAAAUUUUCAUCAGCCCUCAAAGAGGCUGGUUACACUUAAUCUAUAGCAGAUUUUUUCUUUUCACCUACUCGGUUGGCGCUACUUUUACUGCGGUUCUUAUUUAUGUGGAUGGCAUCAUCGUGAUAGGGACUGACAAUCUCUCUACUGCUGCCUUGAAAGUUUUUCUUUGUAUUAAAUUUUACAUUAAAGAUGUUGGCAUUCUCAAAUA